AAUUUUGAUCAAAAUUCUAUUGAUUUGUUAAAGGUGCUAAAGUUUUAAAUAAAAAAGACUUUUGUAAAUUAGUUAUGUACAUUAUAUGCGAAGAAAGAUAACUGCAAUCUGAAUAAUUGUCAUUACAUUCAGUAAGCUUCCUAAUAUUACAAUUCUGAAAAGUAUCAAAUGUCAAACUUUCAACGAUGCAUAUGUAUGUAAUUAGAUGUAGGAAAGAUGCUGUAUAUUGAUUAUAUAUAUUAUGGAUUACAGUUGAAAACAACUGAAAGAAAAUAUUCAUUAAAAUUAUAAAAUUUA